rnacentral:rRNA from 1 species
GAUCAUAGCUCAGGAUGAACGCUAGCUACAGGCUUAACACAUGCAAGUCGAGGGGCAGCAUGGUCUUAGCUUGCUAAGGCUGAUGGCGACCGGCGCACGGGUGAGUAACACGUAUCCAACCUGCCGUCUACUNUUGGCCAGCCUUCUGAAAGGAAGAUUAAUCCAGGAUGGGAUCAUGAGUUCACAUGUCCGCAUGAUUAAAGGUAUUUUCCGGUAGACGAUGGGGA